rnacentral:rRNA from 1 species
UACGGGGGAGCAAGCGUUGUUCGGAUUUACUGGGCGUAAGGGGCGCGUAGGCGGCCACCGCAAGUCGACUGUGAAAUCUCCGGGCUUAACCCGGAAAGGUCAGCCGAUACUGCGGGCUAGAGUGCAGAAGGGGCAACUGGAAUUCUCGGUGGUAGCGGUGAAAUUCGUAGAUAUUCGCAAGAACACCAGUCGGCGAAGGCGGAGCUCGAC